UUUGAAGACAAAGGUUGUCCGGGCAGAGC
rnacentral:piRNA from 1 species